rnacentral:rRNA from 1 species
UACGGGGGGGGCAAGCGUUGUUCGGAAUUACUGGGCGUAAAGGGUUCGUAGGUGGCCUGCUAAGUCAGACGUGAAAUCCCUCAGCUCAACUGGGGAACUGCGUCUGAGACUGGAAGGCUUGAGUGCAGGAGAGGAACGCGGAAUUCCAGGUGUAGCGGUGAAAUGCGUAGAUAUCUGGAGGAACACCGGUGGCGAAGGCGGCGUUCUGGACUGCAACUGACACUGAGGAACGAAAGCCAGGGGAGCAAACGGG